rnacentral:rRNA from 1 species
CCUACGGGAGGCAGCAGUGAGGAAUAUUGGUCAAUGGGCGCGAGACUGAACCAGCCAAGUAGCGUGAAGGAUGACGGCCCUACGGGUUGUAAACUUCUUUUAUAAAGGAAUAAAGUGAGGCACGCGUGCCUUUUUGUAUGUACUUUAUGAAUAAGGAUCGGCUAACUCCGUGCCAGCAGCCGCGGUAAUACGGAGGAUCCGAGCGUUAUCCGGAUUUAUUGGGUUUAAAGGGAGCGUAGAUGGGUUGUUAAGUCAGUUGUUAAAGUUUGCGGCUCAACCGUAAAAUUGCAAUUGAUACUGGCAGUCUUGAGUACAGUUGAGGUAGGCGGAAUUCGUGGUGUAGCGGUGAAAUGCUUAGAUAUCACGAAGAACUCCGAUUGCGAAGGCAGCUUACCAAACUGCCACUGACAUUGAGGCUCGAAAGUGUGGGUAUCAAACAGGAUUAGAUACCCGAGUAGUC